rnacentral:misc_RNA from 1 species
AGCUUUUUAAAGGCCAAAAUGGAAAUAUUGUACAGAACAGAUAUAUAAGAUUGUUUCUAUGAAUCUGUGGUGGAAUUCCUCUGAUAUAUUUACUCUGAAAUGUGUUAUUAGCAAACCUUCUGGACAUCACUGGCUGGAGUGUCCACAAGAUGAGUCUGUUUGCAAAUUAUACUUGGAUAAAUUUUCAAAUGAGAUUUGGGACAAAGGUGAUAAUGGACAGAAAUACAGCAGUUGAAAUAUUUCUAAACAAAAGACUAUAGAAUCAAAAAGGUUAAAAAAGAUUAUAUAUUGUGAUUUUUGAAGAAAUAAAAUGGAAAAGAGUGAGAAACUAAAGGAACAGAUUUUUCCAGAAGAUAACAAAAAAGAGAGGCGAAAAUUAUCACGUGACUGUGAUGUCUGUAAACAGUCCUCUCAAAAGGGUCACUUGAAUAGGCACAAAUGUAUUCAUACAGGGGAGAAACCAUUUCACUGUGACAUCUGUGGUAAAUCAUUCUCUAAAAAAAUUAACUUGACUACACAUCAACGUGUUCAUACAGGGGAGAAACCAUUUCACUGUGACAUCUGUGGUAAAUCAUUCUCUAAAAAAAUUAACUUGACUACACACCAACGUAUUCAUACAGGAGAGAAGCCAUUUCACUGUGACAUCUGUGGUAAAUCAUUCCCUCAAAGUAAUACCUUGACUACACACAAACGUAUUCAUACAGGAGAGAAGCCUUUUCACUGUGAUGUCUGUGGUACAUCAUUCUGUGACCAAAGUGCUUUAAAUUCUCACAUACGUGUUCAUACAGGGGAAAAGCCAUUUCACUGUGACAUCUGUGGUAAAUCAUUCUCUCAAAAAGACAGCUUGACUACACACAAACGUAUUCAUACUGGAGAGAAGCCAUAUCACUGUGAUGUCUGUGGUACAUCAUUCUCUGACCGAAGUGCUUUAAAUUCUCACAUAACUGUUCAUACAGGGGAGAAGCCAUUUGACUGUGACACUUGUGGGAAAUCCUUCUCUAAAAAAAUUAACUUGACUACACACCAACGUGUUCAUACAGGGGAGAAGCCAUUUCGCUGUGACAUCUGUGAUAAAUCAUUCUCUAAAAAAAUUAACUUCGCUACACACCAACGUAUUCAUACAGGGGAGAAGCCAUUUCACUGUGACAUCUGUGGUAAAUCAUUUCCUCAAAGUAAUAACUUGACUACACACAAACGUAUUCAUACAGGAGAGAAGCCAUAUCACUGUGAUGUCUGUGGCAAGUCUUUCUCUGACCAAAGUGCUUUAAAUUCUCACAUACGUAUUCAUACAGGAGAGAAGCCAUAUCACUGUGAUAUCUGUAGUAAAUCAUUCUCUCAUCGAAAUGCCUUAAAUUCUCACAAACGUGUUCAUACAGGAUAGAAGCCAUAUCGGUGUAAUUUCUGUAGUAAAUCAUUCUGUCAAAGUAGUGCUUUAACUUCUCAUAAACAUAUUCAUACAGGAGAGAA